AGUGAACGCUGGCGGUAGGCCUAACACAUGCAAGUCGAACGGCAGCACAGUAAGAGCUUGCUCUUACGGGUGGCGAGUGGCGGACCGGUGAGGAAUACAUCGGAAUCUACUUUUUCGUGGGGGAUAACGUAGGGAAACUUACGCUAAUACCGCAUACGACCUACGGGUGAAAGCAGGGGAUCUUCGGACCUUGCGCGAUUGAAUGAGCCGAUGUCGGAUUAGCUAGUUGGCGGGGUAAAGGCCCACCAAGGCGACGAUCCGUAGCUGGUCUGAGAGGAUGAUCAGCCACACUGGAACUGAGACACGGUCCAGACUCCUACGGGAGGCAGCAGUGGGGAAUAUUGGACAAUGGGCGCAGGCCUGAUCCAGCCAUACCGCGUGGGUGAAGAAGGCCUUCGGGUUGUAAAGCCCUUUUGUUGGGAAAGAAAAGCAGCAGGUUAAUACCCCGCUGUUCUGACGGUACCCAAAGAAUAAGCACCGGCUAACUUCGUG
rnacentral:rRNA from 1 species